CUGCAUUUCAAUUUCCUGUAGUAUUUAUUCAGAUGUGGUAUACAUUAUGACUUUUCGUUAGGUUUAUUCAGAUUUGAUCUUCAUGAAUUCAAGAACUACUGGGCCAUCCUCUGUUUCCUGCAAAUCGGGAAACAAAAACAGCUUCUUUUUCUGGAUUUUGUUUAACUUGUUGCCAAAGUUUCUGGGGACUCCUAUUACAUACGUUGACUUCCUUUUGAUUAAGGCCAUUGACAGGAGUCCCUCUGCUCUUCGUGUCUUGGAGAUUUGCACAGAGAUCACGAUUUAACCGUGAUAUAUUUGGCCAACUGCAGUUAGUAUGUGUAGGGAGUGAUUGCUUCAACCAUCUGCAGUUGGCAUCCUAAUAAUACCUGGUAACAUGGUUUCCUCUCAAUUAUCUGGGAUGACCAAGACCAACAUGUGCAAGCCAUUGCUUAACCAGUUGUUUUUUUCUGAGAACCCUCCAGACAGUCUAGUGUCAGACCAUGUUGAGCUAGACUUUACUGAUGUAUUUGGUCCUUUUCCAGUUCAGGCAUCAACUGAUGUGAAUUGUGGUGAUUUGGCAAAUCCUUUGACCGGGACAGAUGUUACUGAGCUUAUUUACGAUGAACCAGUUGUCAUUUACAGCCGAUCACAUUCAUUGGUUGGUCCAUUAUCUUGUGUUAGCCAGUCACUGAAGCUCAGUAAGCUCACUUUACAUGAGACAGAAGAUUCUAUGGAACUAGCGGAACUUGAGGAAUCAUCCAUAGAUGAUGAGGCUGUUGAGAAAGCUGUUGAGAAUGUUAGUGGAGAUUCUUUGGAGGUCCGUGGCAUGAGGAUUGAAGAUUUUGAGGUUCUGAAAGUUGUUGGGCAAGGUGCAUUUGCGAAAGUUUAUCAGGUUAGGAAGAAGGGCACAUCAGAAAUAUAUGCAAUGAAAGUCAUGCGCAAGGACAUGAUAAUGGAGCAGAAUCAUGUUGAGUACAUGAAAGCUGAGAGGGACAUUCUGACAAAAAUAGAUCAUCCUUUCAUUGUGCAGCUUAAAUACUCCUUCCAAACCAAAUAUAGAUUAUACCUUGUUUUGGA
rnacentral:misc_RNA from 1 species